UUGUAAUUGAAGAGUAAGAUUACUAAUAACACCUAAGUUAGUCACUUAUAUUACAACAAAGGAAACCAACCAAGUUUAAGCAAAUUAAUUAAUAAAUAAAUAAAUUAAUUAAAAAAAAAAAAAACCCUCCCCAAACCCACGGUCAACACCCACCUCUUUCCCCCUACACUAAUUUCCCUUAAUUGAACCACCAUUAAUCACCUACCAUCUCCCCUUAUCUCCUACUUGUCCCCUCUCCUAGCUUCCUAUCAACAAAACCACCAAUCACCAUCCUUCCACCUUCAACCUUUGUUCCAAAAAUCUGUCCAUAAAUACACAGAAGAAAUGAGUUUCAAUUACAAACUUAAAACCACAAGAAUUCACAAAAAAAUUCUUCUCUCUCUCUCCUCUGUUUCGACCCCCCACAACCGACCACCGUCGGCCACCGCGCGCGCCACCUGCGCCGCGCUCUGUCGCGUCUUCACCCCGCUGUCGUUCGCCGACCACCGUGCAGCUCGCCGGCGACCCACGUCGCAGCCCGUCGCUGCUUCCUCUCUCUCUCACUCUCGCUCGCACGCUCCUCUGUUUCGCGUGCUGUUGCUGCUCCUGUCGUUCCGCCGCCGUCGGAGCUCCGGAGAUCUACGGUCGUCGCUGUUCUGUUUCCACCGCCGACAUCCCGCGCCGUCAUCUGCGCCGCUCGCCGGAGUUCGCCCGACCUGCGUUUUCGUCCCUGCUCAAGAGAGCAGAGAUUAAGGAAGAUAAAGGAUAUUACAAGCCUCCCCCGGCUAUCAAGGUUAUUAAGCAGGAAUUCAGGUACCGAUGGUGAUAACGGGAUGGCGUAGCAGUGAGGAUUUAAUUAAUAUCUAGAUUAUCUAGACUCUCAUGGUUUUAAUUUAAGUUUAUGUCAAAACUCUGAUUAGUAACUAAGUUUCUAUUAAUCAAGACUAAUGUUGGAUCUAUAUUAUGCUUCAUGUUAUAAAAUGUUUAAGUUUAUGAUUUA